CCCCUUUUAGGGUCGCACCUGGGGAGUUUACAAUACUCUACCAGUCACAACUGCAGGAGGGAGAGUCAAGCAGAGGCAUACCCAUUCCAUUCCUAGCUUGGGUAAUGGCUAGUGAGUGGAAGGCAAUCUGCUAUACGU